GGGGAGCAAACGGGAUUAGAAACCCCGGUAGUCCAUGCCGUAAACGAUGCNUACUAGAUGUCCAUACGGGGGAACUCGUAGGGGUGUCGAAGCAAACGCGAUAAGUAGGCCGCCUGGGGAGUACGGCCGCAAGGUUAAAACUCAAAGGAAUUGACGGGGACCCGCACAAGCGGUGGAUGAUGUGGAUUAAUUCGAUGCAACGCGAAAAACCUUACCUACCCUUGACAUGUCCGGAACCCUGGUGAGAGCUGGGGGUGCCCGAAAGGGAGCCGGAACACAGGUGCUGCAUGGCUGUCGUCAGCUCGUGUCGUGAGAUGUUGGGUUAAGUCCCGCAACGAGCGCAACCCUUGCCGCUAAUUGCCAUCAUUCAGUUGGGCACUUUAGUGGGACUGCCGGCGACAAACCGGAGGAAGGUGGGGAUGACGUCAAGUCCCCAUGGCCCUUAUGGGUAGGGCUUCACACGUCAUACAAUGGCGCAUACAGAGGGCUGCGAAGGGGCGACCCGGAGCCAAUCCCAGAAAGUGCGUCGUAGUCCGGAUUGCAGUCUGCAACUCGACUGCAUGAAGUCGGAAUCGCUAGUAAUCGCGGAUCAGCAUGUCGCGGUGAAUACGUUCCCGGGUCUUGUACACACCGCCCGUCACACCAUGGGAGUGGGGUUCACCAGAAGGCGUUAGCCUAACNNCNNGGAGGGCGACGACCACGGUGAGCUUCAUGACGGGGGUGAAGUCGUAACAAGGUAGCCGUAUCGGAAGGUGCGGCUGGAUCACCUCCU
rnacentral:rRNA from 1 species